UGUACCUGUUAGUUUUGAUCAAUGCUGAAGUGCUCAUUGUCUGUCUGUACACGCUGUGUGUGUGUUUGUUCGCCUAUGAAGAACCAGUAAAUGUAUUGUCUGCUUUAAAUGAUAGAUUAUCUUUCCUUUUUUAUUCUUUUUGUUUUGUAUUUGUAAGUUAAAGAUCCCUCAUCCUUUUGCUCUGUUGACCCGCCUUUCCCCCUGUAUUAAAUGUUUUCAGCACUUAGUUCAGGGAGGUAACUUUUUCAUUGAAGUUGACUUUUUUGCUGAAGGUGUGUUUGUUACAUACUUUAGAAACUUCCUUAAUAUGAGACUCAAAUGAUAAAUCAGGAUCAAAGAGAACCCCCAGAGUUUUUAUUUCAGUUUUAGGAUUUGAUAAAGACUGCGAGGGUUAAACUCAUACAAUCCUACAUGUUUUAUUUCAGUUUUAGGAUUUGAUAAAGACUGCGAGGGUUAAACUCAUGCAAUCCUACAUGUUUUAUUUCAGUUUUAGGAUUUGAUAAAGACUGCGAGGGUCAAACUCAUGCAAUCCUACAUGUUUUAUUUCAGUUUUAGGAUUUGAUAAAGACUGCGAGGGUCAAACUCAUGCAAUCCUACAUGUUUUAUUUCAGUUUUAGGAUUUGAUAAAGACUGCUAGGGUCAAACUCAUGUGAUCCUACAUGUUUUAGUUGUUUAUGGGAGCCUACAAACACAACCUCUGUUUUAUCUGAAUUCAACAUGAGGAAGUUUUGAGACAUCCAGCACUUGAUAUCAGCAAGGCAAGCAGCAAAUAACACCCUGACAGAAGUAUCAGCAGGUUUUAAAGACAAAUACAGCUGGGUGUCAUCCGCAUAGCAGUGGAAGUUCACAGCAUGUUUCCUAACAAUGUCACCCAGUGGUAACAUAUAUAAUGAAAAUAGCAAUGGACCCAGAAUAGAACCCUGUGGAACACCGCAAUCAAUGCUGAUUUUUCCUCGCCGAUAGAGACAAAUUGAUACCUAUCAGACAGGUAAGAUUGAAACCAGGAUAAGACAAGGCCAGACAGCCCCACUAAGUAUUUGAGCUGAAUUAAUAAGAUGGAGUGGUCUACGGUGUCAAAAGCAGCACUUAGAUUAAGAAGAAUUAGACCUGAUGCAAAGCCCGAGUCAGAGCUCAUCAGUAGGUCAUUUACAACUUUGACGAGGGCUGUCUCUGUACUAUGUGCAGCACGAAAACCGGACUGAAAUUUCUCUGAUACACCAUUACAAGUUAACAAACUUUGUACUUGAAAUGCAACAACCCUCUCUAAAACCUUGUCUAAGAAUGGAAGUUUGGAGAUGGGCCUGUAGUUAUUAAUGAGUUUAGGAUCCAAGUUGUGUUUCUUGAGCAUUGGAUUUACUGUAGCUACCUUAAGUGCUGAGGAAAGAGUACCAGAAGAAAGAGAACUAUUUAUAAUUUUUAAAAUGUGGGUAAUAAUAACUCCAAGAGUGUUUUUUAAUAAUUUUGUAGGAAUGGGGUCAAGAGAACAUGCUGUAGUUCUCAUGUGCUGAAUCAGAGCUGUCAGCUCUUGAAGGGUAAUCAAAGGAAAGACCUCCAUAGUAGCCUUAUGCCCCGUUCACACUAGCACACCCGUACCUUGAGGCUCCACGCCCUCACGGUACGGAUGUCUUUACACUAGCAAAUAACCGAGCCGAGCCGGAACCAAGCCGUGAAACUCCAGCCCUGCAACAUAUCUGAAUCUGGCUCGGGCCGAACAGGCUGUGGGCGGGGAUUACGAAAUGUGUCAUUCCGUUUGUUUUCAUCAUCGACCAGCGUUCGAAGAAGAAGCGAAGAAAAACCAUUACAAGAUGGACUGCAAUGAUUUUGAAGGACGGAAAAUGCAAGCCUGGGAUGCCGAUGAAGUACAGGCACUGGUAACUCUCUGGUGUGAUAGAAGUGUCCAGGGAGAACUUGCGUCUAGCGUACGUAACGAAAAAAUAUAUGCCAAACUUGCGGCAGACCUGAAGGAAUUGGGAUAUAACCGGAGUCUUAAGCAGUGUCAGGAGAAAAUUAAGAAACUAAAACAAGAGUAUAAAAAAAUAAAAGAGCAUAACAGCAAAAGUGGAGCUGAUCAUAAAAAAGGCAAAUAUUACGACAUUGUGGACUCUGUAUUAGGACAUCGACCUGCAGCACUUCGCGCUGGCGCUGUCAAUUCUGCCACGGAGAUAAUGGAAGCAAUGGUGGAUCCACCAGCUGAAAAAGAAGACGUAGUACAAGAAGAUGAACUCGACAGCAGCUCCAACUGGACUGAAACGCCCUCCUCCGCUGGGACACUACACAGGACAACAACUGGACUGAAACGCCCUCCUCCGCUGGGACGCUACACAGGACAACAACUGGACUGAAACGCCCUCCUCCGCUGGGACGCUACACAGGACAACUGGACUGAAACGCCCUCCUCCGCUGGGACACUACACAGGACAACAACUGGACUGAAACGCCCUCCUCCGCUGGGACACUACACAGGACAACUGGACUGAAACGCCCUCCUCCGCUGGGACGCUACACAGGACAACAACUGGACUGAAACGCCCUCCUCCGCUGGGACACUACACAGGACAACAACUGGACUGAAAUGCCCUCCUCCGCUGGGACGCUACACAGGACAACAACUGGACUGAAAUGCCCUCCUCCGCUGGGACGCUACACAGGACAACAACUGGACUGAAACGCCCUCCUCCGCUGGGACGCUACACAGGACAACAACUGGACUGAAACGCCCUCCUCCGCUGGGACACUACACAGGACAACAACUGGACUGAAACGCCCUCCUCCGCUGGGACACUACACAGGACAACUGGACUGAAACACCCUCCUCCGCUGGGACACUACACAGGACAACUGGACUGAAACGCCCUCCUCCACUCGGACACUACACAGGACAACAACUGGACUGAAACGCCCUCCUCCGCUGGGACGCUACACAGGACAACAACUGGACUGAAACGCCCUCCUCCGCUGGGACACUACACAGGACAACAACUGGACUGAAACACCCUCCUCCGCUGGGACACUACACAGGACAACAACUGGGAAAAAACGUAAAAGGGUUGAUGCACCGGCUCCAGUACUUGAACUGGUUCAGGCCAUGAGAGAGUCUGAUACAAAGUACAUGGACUUCAUGCAAGUGCAAAUGCAGGCUGAACGUGACUUUCGAGAGAGGCAAAUGGCGUUGGACUGGGAGCAAAGGGAACGGCAAAGGGAAGCAUCCACAACAUUGAACACACAGCUAAUAUCUGUAUUGGGAAGAACUGGAGAGGCUUUGCUAACAAGAAAUGCCAAAGAUAUUCCUGUAGAUUAAUAAUGAACAGUUAACAGGAUGAACUUAAACUGUAUCCAUUAAUAAUGUAUAAACACAAAACAUAUGCAGAAUUGAACUUUAUAUGACAUUUACAGAAUAUUAACAUAUUUAUGUUUGAAUGUUAAUAUUCUC